CACGCGCAAGGCCUAAUGUAGAGAAGUGUGAGAGACCGUCAAUGGCCAGAGUAAUUUCUGGAACUUUAGAGCUCAUUAGAUCCUAAUAAAACCGUCAGCUUUGUAAAUACUUACAGAUUAAAAAAAAACAUACCUUCUUAAGCAAAUUAGUCGUUAACAUUAAAACGUCUGUAUCUGGUUUAAAAGACUGGACAGCAGCUAGAUACCCUUUCUGCUUCUGAAGAAUUUUAGAUGAAGACAUUACCUCAACGAUUUGGAAACUGGCCCAGCUAAUAUCCACCCCUAACAUUUCCAGCUACUUUUGUUAGUAACUUUAUAAAUAAAGUUGAACGAACAUAUGCAAGCUUUAAGAUUGCUUCUGAUUUAAGAUCUGCAUCCUGCGAUGUCGCUUCUUUUCGACAUUCUAGUAAACAAGUCGCAAUAAAUGCUUCCUCAUCAUUUGCAUGAGAUCUUAUCCCUUUAAUUAGGUCAAUUAGUGUCCUUUCAAACACCAUGACAAUUUAUAAUUCAACAGUCAGUUAAAUAUAUCCCAAAGCCGGCUUUAUGCAGUUUGCUCUCUUAAGACUAUAUCGCAAUGUAUCCUUGACGAAAAGGAAUUAUCGAGCUGAAGCAGCAAUCGUUAAUUAGUUAUAUCGCGUAGCAGUGAAUUAGCUAACGCAGUUGAGAAAAAUAAAUUGCAAUGAGUUUUAUUAAUAA